rnacentral:rRNA from 1 species
GAGGAAUAUUGGUCAAUGGGCGAGAGCCUGAACCAGCCAAGUAGCGUGCAGGAUGACGGCCCUAUGGGUUGUAAACUGCUUUUGUAUGGGGAUAAAGUCAAUCACGUGUGAUUGUUUGCAGGUACCAUACGAAUAAGGACCGGCUAAUUCCGUGCCAGCAGCCGCGGUAAUACGGAAGGUCCGGGCGUUAUCCGGAUUUAUUGGGUUUAAAGGGAGCGUAGGCUGGAGAUUAAGUGUGUUGUGAAAUGUAGACGCUCAACGUCUGACUUGCAGCGCAUACUGGUUUCCUUGAGUACGCACAACGUUGGCGGAAUUCGUCGUGUAGCGGUGAAAUGCUUAGAUAUGACGAAGAACUCCGAUUGCGAAGGCAGCUGACGGGAGCGCAACUGACGCUGAAGCUCGAAGGUGCGGGUAUCGAACAGGAUUAGAUACCCUGGUAGUCCGCACAGUAAACGAUGGAUGCCCGCUGUUGGUACUUGGUAUCAGCGGCUAAGCGAAAGCAUUAAGCAUCCCACCUGGGGAGUACGCCGGCAACGGUG